ACAUCUAGGUCGGAUAAAGAAAGUGGUCAAUAUCUAAGAGAUUAAAGAGUUUUUUCUUUCAAUUGGUGAAUUCAAUUUUUCUUAAAUUUUAUAUAUUUAUAAUUUUUUUUUGAAUUGAAAUGUAUAUAAAAUUUUAGUUGAGAUCAAUGAUUAAAUUAAUAUUUAUUGAGAUUUCAAAGUAGCAAUAGGAAUUGAUUAGGAUUUAUUUAAGAUUUUUUUGGAUUUGUUUAGAAUUUGUUUAAGAGUUAACUUAGAUUUAGAAUUUCUUUAGGAUUUGGUGUAGGAUUUAGGAUUUAAUUAGGAUUUGGUUUAGGAUUUAAAAUAUAAUUAGUAUUUUAUUAGGAUUUAUUAAGGUUUGAUUUAGGAUUUAGAAUUUGAUUAGGAUUUCUUGUGAUUUCAUUGAAAUUUGACUAGAUUUUUUUAUUUUUUUAUUAGGAUAUAAUUAGAAUUUAAUAUGGAUUUGAUUAUGAUUUAUUUAGGAUUUUGUUGGAAUUUAAUUAGGAUUUAUUAAGCACUGUAUUAAGAAUUGAUUAGGAUUUAUUUUAGAUUUAUUUA
rnacentral:lncRNA from 1 species